UGCUGGAGGUAUCAGAAGUGCGAAUGCUGACAUAAGUAACGAUAAAGCGGGUGAAAAGCCCGCUCGCCGGAAGACCAAGGGUUCCUGUCCAACGUUAAUCGGGGCAGGGUGAGUCGACCCCUAAGGCGAGGCCGAAAGGCGUAGUCGAUGGGAAACGGGUUAAUAUUCCCGUACUUGGUGUUACUGCGAAGGGGGGACGGAGAAGGCUAUGUUGGCCGGGCGACGGUUGUCCCGGUUUAAGCGUGUAGGCUGGUUUUCCAGGCAAAUCCGGAAAAUCAAGGCUGAGGCGUGACGACGAGGCACCACGGUGCUGAAGCAACAAAUGCCCUGCUUCCAGGAAAAGCCUCUAAGCAUCAGGUAACACGAAAUCGUACCCCAAACCGACACAGGUGGUCAGGUAGAGAAUACCAAGGCGCUUGAGAGAACUCGGGUGAAGGAACUAGGCAAAAUGGUGCCGUAACUUCGGGAGAAGGCACGCUGACACGUAGGUGAAGUGAUUUACUCAUGGAGCUGAAGUCAGUCGAAGAUACCAGCUGGCUGCAACUGUUUAUUAAAAACACAGCACUGUGCAAACACGAAAGUGGACGUAUACGGUGUGACGCCUGCCCGGUGCCGGAAGGUUAAUUGAUGGGGUUAUCCUCGCGGAGAAGCUCCUGAUCGAAGCCCCGGUAAACGGCGGCCGUAACUAUAACGGUCCUAAGGUAGCGAAAUUCCUUGUCGGGUAAGUUCCGACCUGCACGAAUGGCGUAAUGAUGGCCAGGCUGUCUCCACCCGAGACUCAGUGAAAUUGAACUCGCUGUGAAGAUGCAGUGUACCCGCGGCAAGACGGAAAGACCCCGUGAACCUUUACUAUAGCUUGACACUGAACAUUGAGCCUUGAUGUGUAGGAUAGGUGGGAGGCUUUGAAGCGUGGACGCCAGUCUGCGUGGAGCCAACCUUGAAAUACCACCCUUUAAUGUUUGAUGUUCUAACGUGGACCCGUUACCCGGGUUGCGGACAGUGUCUGGUGGGUAGUUUGACUGGGGCGGUCUCCUCCCAAAGAGUAACGGAGGAGCACGAAGGUUGGCUAAUCCUGGUCGGACAUCAGGAGGUUAGUGCAAUGGCAUAAGCCAGCUUGACUGCGAGCGUGACGGCGCGAGCAGGUGCGAAAGCAGGUCAUAGUGAUCCGGUGGUUCUGAAUGGAAGGGCCAUCGCUCAACGGAUAAAAGGUACUCCGGGGAUAACAGGCUGAUACCGCCCAAGAGUUCAUAUCGACGGCGGUGUUUGGCACCUCGAUGUCGGCUCAUCACAUCCUGGGGCUGAAGUAGGUCCCAAGGGUAUGGCUGUUCGCCAUUUAAAGUGGUACGCGAGCUGGGUUUAGAACGUCGUGAGACAGUUCGGUCCCUAUCUGCCGUGGGCGCUGGAGAACUGAGGGGGGCUGCUCCUAGUACGAGAGGACCGGAGUGGACGCAUCACUGGUGUUCGGGUUGUCAUGCCAAUGGCACUGCCCGGUAGCUAAAUGCGGAAGAGAUAAGUGCUGAAAGCAUCUAAGCACGAAACUUGCCCCGAGAUGAGUUCU
rnacentral:rRNA from 1 species